GACGAACGCUGGCGGCGUGCCUAACACAUGCAAGUCGAGCGAGUGAAUCUCCUUCGGGAGUGAAGCUAGCGGCGGACGGGUGAGUAACACGUGGGCAACCUGCCUCAUAGAGGGGAAUAGCCUUUCGAAAGGAAGAUUAAUACCGCAUAAGAUGGUAGCUUCGCAUGAAGUAGCAAGUAAAGGAGCAAUCCGCUAUGAGAUGGGCCCGCGGCGCAUUAGCUAGUUGGUGAGGUAACGGCUCACCAAGGCGACGAUGCGUAGCCGACCUGAGAGGGUGAUCGGCCACAUUGGGACUGAGACACGGCCCAGACUCCUACGGGAGGCAGCAGUGGGGAAUAUUGCACAAUGGGGGAAACCCUGAUGCAGCAACGCCGCGUGAGUGAUGUCGGCCUUCGGGUUGUAAAGCUCUGUCUUCAGGGACGAUAAUGACGGUACCUGAGGAGGAAGCCACGGCUAACUACGUGCCAGCCGCCGCAGUAAAAC
rnacentral:rRNA from 1 species